GAUGAACGCUGACAGAAUGCUUAACACAUCAGCGAUUGAGUGGUGGCGGUCGGGUGAGUAACGCGUAAAGAACUUGCCUCACAGGUAGGGACAACAUUUGGAAACGAAUGCUAAUACCUAAUACUGUGAGAGAGCUUCGCGUCCCAUUAGCUCUUUGGAGAGGUAACGGCUCACCAAGGCGAUGAUGGGUAGCCGGCCUGAGAGGGUGAUCGGCCACAAGGGGACUGGGAGGCGGCCCUUACGCCUACGGGGGGCAGCAGUGGAGAAUAAUGGACAAUGGACCAAAGUCUGAUCCAGCAAUUCUGUGUGAACGAUGAAGUUUUAGGAAGGUAAAGUGCUUUCAGUUGAAGAGCGGUACCAAACGAAGAAGUGACGGCUAACUACGUGCCAGCCGCCGCGGUAAUAC
rnacentral:rRNA from 1 species